GCGUGUCCACAUACUUUUAUAGUUAUAGUGUAUUUCUCUUUCUGGCUGCUUAUUGUCUCUUUGUUUGUGUCUCUUCAGUUCUGUCUCCCUUUUGUAGAUAUUACACUUCUACCUCCAUGUGUCUGUUUUUUGAAAUCCAAAAACAAUCUUUUGGUAUUUGUUUCAUUAGUCCAUUGUUGAUAUAGUCCCAACAUGUUUUGCAUGUCAGCAAACAAGUUUUCAAGAUAUAGAACUUUCAAAAUACAAAAAUACAGCCGGUAUGAUGCAAAAUGCUGACAUGUAGAACAUUCUGGGACUCUAUCAACAAUGGACAAAACAUAUAUAUGUUUUAAGUUAAUAAGAAAAUGGACUGAUGAAACAAAUUACCAGUAGUUUUGGGGUGGAAUUGUUCCUCUAACACCUACAUCAAAAAUGGCUUCAAAACAAGAUGUCUUUCUUGACGUCACAGCUGCCUAAGAUAUCAUUUGAUGCACUGGCUUCCUCCUGAAGCAGUCAUGGUCCCUCCCCCAUUAGUCAACCAAAAUCAUCACACUACUGAGCAAUAGAUGUUUCAGAGUCCACCUCAGCGAGGCAAAGAGUACAUGGAAGAGAAAUACCAACAGUCUCCCAACAGUCUCACCUUCCGAAAAUUCAUAUACUUCUGACGACAUAUGCCUGGCAAUGCAAGCUCCAAACUUCGACACCCUGGAGCAAACCCUAAAUGAGGAUACAGCAAAACUGGAACAAUACUGCAACAAAUGGCGACUUCAACCUAGCCGAGCAAAAACUGUAUUCAGUAUAUUCCACCUCCAUAACGCAAAGGCCAAAAGAGCUCAACACCCAGAUGAACAACCACAAGCUAGAGCGCCAACCCACCUCCAUAUACCUUGGGGUGACCCUGCACAGGUCACUUACCUUCUGGGAGUACCUGAGGACAACAGCAGCUAAGGUCAAAACCAGGAACAACCUGAUCUCCAAACAAGCUGGCUCAACAUGGGGCGUUGCUACCACCACCAUUCAUACCUCUGCACUCUCAUUCUCAGCAGCAGAGUAAUAUGCACCUGUCUGGUCAAGGUCGUCUCUCUCUCUCUCUCGCACGCACGCACACACACACACACACACACACACACACACACACACACACACACACGUGUACACACACACACACACACACACGACAUACAGCUAAACACCACCAUGCACAUCAUCACUGGCAUACUGCAAUCCACCCCACUUUCCUGGCUCCCUGUUCUGGCAUACAUAUCCAGCCAAUGCCUUGCCAACCUCCAACGAUGGGGCAUUAAAGCAAGCCCCCUACAGUAUGUGCCUGUGAGGUGAAGCAAACCAUGCACCACAUUCUUGAAGACUGUCUAAUCUACAAACUCAGCGGAGGCCUACUCACUAUCAACCCAGCAGGACCGGAAGCAAUCACUUGGCUAAAGGACUUUGCAUUCGCUAAAUAAAAAAAGGAAGUAUUUAAAAACAGACACAUGUAGCGAUAGUCAAUGUAACUUCUAACUCCCCUUCUGUCCGUUUUUUCAAUCUUCUACCUCACUUCUGUCGGUGUUUGUAACGUGCAUCUCUUUGUGUUUCUGCUCCAGAUAAUAAGUAUGCCCCAGCGGUCACUCUGAAUGGGCACAUCUUUAUUCUGGGAGGAGCCUAUGCCCGGGCCAUCACCAUCUAUGACCCAGACAAAGGAAACAUCAAAGCCGGACCCAAUAUGAACCACUCACGACAGUUCUGCAGUGCGGUGAUCCUGGAUGGUAAGAUCUACGCAACGGGGGGCAUUGUGAGCAGCGAGGGUCCUGCCCUGGGCAACAUGGAGAUCUUUGACCCCCACACCAACAACUGGACGCUCCUCCAGUCGCUGCCCUGCCCUCUCUUCAGACACGGCUGUGUCGUCAUCAAGAAGUACAUCCAGAGUGGCUGAGAUCGGUUCAGUGAUGAAUGAGUUUCCUGAAAGCUUUGUAGCCAAUGUGGCUUUAUUUUCUCUGGACAACCCAGACCCAUGCCUCUUGUAGAAGAGCAAAGUACUUCAGGUUCAUUUGGCGAAUUUUGUUCACUUUUCCCCCAUGACUGUCAAACAUUUACAAUUAUUGUUAGUCUCCCUCUGCUGUGGUGCUGGGUUAUCGAGACAAACUAAGUGUCAUGUUAGAUAUGAAGCUAUCGGGAAAACUCCCCCCUGACUGGUUUGGUCUGGUUAGGACAGGACACUCUGUGUGCAGCUUUUGGGGGUCGAUCGGUCAGCACCGCUGGACUAUCCAACUAAAACCCCCUCGGGACUUGAUGCCAGUGUUGUUGUCUUUACCCCCCCACCCCACCCCACCCCUUCAGUCCCCCAUCAACCCCCUGUGCAGAAUGUAGGCAUCUUACUGUAUCUUGAACCACUUGGCCAUGUCAGGUACUGGUGCCUAAGCUACUGUAUGUAUCAUAUAGUGUAGCUUAUCCCCCCCCAUAUAAUAUAGACACAGGGCCACUCGAGACAAAAGCUCCUUGGUUUGUUGUUCCCAACUUCUUGCUAACUCCUCUUCCGUUUCAUACAAAUAGUUAAUUUAGUUCCAUCGCCUCAAUUGAAAGGCCCUUACCUGUUAUGUGUUUGUGACUCAAGUAUGUUAAAAACCAUCCCAGUCUUUGUUCUGUGACUCCUCUAGUGGUUUCUGUUAGUGAGGAACUUCUUUCCAAAUCAGAGGGCUCCCUUGGUUUAUGAGGACAUUCAGUAGUGGCAUUUGAAGAACAGGAGAACUGGGCAGAUGUCUCAGUGCUUAAAGGGACAGUGGAGAGAUAAGGAAGUCCACAGGGUUUUAGAAACAUAUUCAUGAAACAAAAAUCUGUGACGAGAGAGCCACAGCUGAUGAGUGAGGAGCCUUGUUUUUUGUACAGAUGUUGUUUCCCCCUCGGUUUAAAAGGACACGUUGGAUACUUAGUCUCUUUUUGGGCCAGAAACAUCACUGUUGGCAGAUGACUUACCUGGGAAUGGCAGAGAGGGAAUCCCUGUAUCAUGACAUCCCAGAGAGUCUGAGAAAGACACUACAAUGGGGCAUUUCUCCUCCACACAGCCAAAGCACAAUAACCACCAGUGGCUCCAAGGAUCAAAAUGUUUCACUAGAUUUAUGUUUAUCCUCCAUCUUUGUUUUUGUUCCAUCCUUUUGUUUUAUAUUUGUAUAUCAUUGUUGGGUGGGUGGGUGGGGUAUGGAUGAGGGUUUUGGGGACAUUCUGUAAAUACGGGAAGGAAAAAUGUAUAUUUUAAAACCUGAAGGUGAUUCUGUAUAAAUGUUUUUAGAAAAAAAACUUGAUAGGUUGGACUGAAAAUGGUGGGGCCAUACUUGCGACUAUUAGAAAACGUUUAAUGGCUCUAUUCAAUCCGCGUCGCGGAAGUUCAGCUUUACAAGCGGACACUGCAUUCACGUUUCAUGUCGGCUCAGUCGGAAAUGACCUUCACAUUUCUGUCACGGAAGCUGUUACGCUUCAGCUUUACAGAUUGAAUCGAGCCUUGUGUUUUAGUUCCAUUUUAUUUGGCUGAUGCUUACACUUGUUGACAUAGUUGCACGUAAUCUAAGGUUACAUGUUAGCUGUUACCAUUUCAUAACCUGACAAAUGUAGCCCUAUGCGAACCUCACCAGGUGGCUGUGAUUAUUAAAAAGAAAAUUGGUAUGAUUUGAUUUGAUGUUUUCAAAACAAUACAACGACAUCUUACAAACAUCAGCUCCAUCACACUUGUCCAGACCUACUAGCACACACCCAUCACCAGGUGGCCAUGAUUAUGUCUGGUUCUAAUUCCAAUUAAUAUUGUUGACCACAGGUUGGUGGCACCUUAAUUGGUGAGGAUAGGCUCGUGUUAAUGGCUGGAGUGGAAUGGUAUCAAAUACAUGCGUUUGAUGCCAUUUCAUUAGCUCCUUUCUAGCCAUUAUGAGCUGUCCUCCCCUCAGCAGCCUCCACUGUCGUUAACGUAGUUGGGCUUGAUGGAACACUUUUCCACGAGUGUCCUUUUACAGCUGUCAUUAGCACCAUCUGCUAAUCAAAUUGACUAAAACACGUAAAAAAAUGUUACUUGAUGUUUAGCUCAGUGUUGUGAGCCUGACUCUUGGUGAUUUUUGCCGUUUGCAUUGCAGUUGAGAUGUCGUUUUUUUCCUUUGAACUGUAGAAUUACAUUUAACAUGUUUUGAAGAGAAGUUGAAGUGCAGCCAAAACCUUGUAAAUUAAGUUCACGUAUACAUUUCAAAUCAAAGUUUAUUUGUCACGUGCGCCGAAUACAACAGGUGUAGACCUUAGUGAAAUGCUUACUUACAGGCUCUAACCAAUAGUGCAAAAAUUGUAUUAGGUGAACAAUCGGUAAGUAAAGAAAUAAAACAGUAAAAAGACAGGCUAUAUACAGUAGUGAGGCUAUACACAGACACUGGUUAGUCAAGCUGAUUUGAGGUAGUAUGUAGAUAUGGUUAAAGUGACUAUGCAUAUGAUGAACAGAGAGUAGCAGUGGUGUAAAAGAGGGGUUGGUGGGUGGCGGGACACAAUGCAGAUAGCCUGGUUAGCCAUUUGAUUACCUGUUCAGUCUUUAAGGCUUGGGAGUAAAAUCCUGUUGAGAAGCCUUUUUGUCCUAGACCUGUCGUGUCUUUGUCUAUGCCGGAUUAAGUGACAUGACAUUCUAUAAAAUCCUUUCUCUGUCAUUAAUAUUACCUGAUUGAGCUAAUCAUGUAAAUGUAAUUAACUAGAAAGCCGGGGCACCACGAAAGUGUUUAUAGAGCUGUUAUCUUCCGAAUAAACUCUGAAAGACCUAGUAAUAUUUUACAUCAAUAGCAGUCAAUAUUAAUCGUCACCUUAUUUCAGUCUCACCUGAAAAUUGUGUUUAUAACCAUGUCUCUUCACAGGGGCAGGCCACUGAUUUGAGCAGAGCUCUAACCUUAGGAAACCCAAAUCUCUCAUUUGGAAGCUACAAUUACAUUUAAUCUUUUCACAUUCAAACAUUUAAAUUGCACAACACUUAUGUGAACCUGAUUACACAUUCAUUAAGUACUCAUGCAUAUUUCCAACUGGUUCUAUUACCGAAAUAUGGUUCCUUUCCCCCCCACCGUUUGUUCCCAGACUGUUUAACAAAGGCGCUAUAUAUAUAUAUAUAUAUGAGUGAGAGAGCGAGAAUUUAUUGGGGGGGGGGGUCAUAAACCUUACCCACAGGCCAAGUCAUGGCACUGCGGUAGUAGAGAGAACAGUCUAUGACUGGGGUCUUUGACAAUUUUUAGGGCCUUCCUCUGACACCGCCUGGUGUAGAGGUCCUGGAUGGCUGGCAGCUUCUUGUUGAAGUCUCUCUUGCAGACCAACACACAUAGGCUACUGGCAUCGAUACAUAAAUCAUUUGAUUCCAUAGACGUGUAAGCCUACAUGUACAGUGUUAUAUAUGAAUUUUUAGACUCGAGGACCAACAGUGGAGCGCUUUUUUCUCAUAAAAACCUUGCCCCGGGGGAUUUGAACCAGCCGCUAUAAUAUCUUAGUCUCUGUGCUUACUCCACCAAUUAGUGGUCAAUUAUAGACAUUCUUUACAAUGUACAAAUAUACACUUACAUGUUGCAUAAUCCUCCAUCUUUAUUGUUGUGAAAGGACGUACGAGUUCGCAGCCUAGUCAAGGAUGCGAUCAUGCAAUAUUGACACUAUACACUUGAGACAGACCGAGUGAAGGGAAACAAAAGUAAACCUUGAUUGUGGCGGUUAAAAUAUAUCCCUCUGGUGGCCAGGCUUACCUAUUUUACAAAAUGCCAUUGGUCUGUGGAGAAAAAGUUUGAGCUUUGAUAGUGAUGAUUUCCUGUAUCAGCCUACCACUUGGUGAGAUUAGCAAGCAUAGGACUAACGUGUGCCAGGUUGUGAUGGGUACUGCUAUCCAGGUACCUGGGAAUACCUAAACCAUAACCAAAGAGUUUUAUAACUAACCCAAGAUAUACCAGCCUGUCAUUUCCAGUGGGAGCAAAUGAAUCAGUGGGCAGCCAAGUUCUAGCAUUUAUUUGCAUUAGGGAAUGCCUACUCUGACGUGCACAUGUGCAAUAAUAAUUCUCACUCCUAAAGACUUUUUUUAAACUAGCAAAUUCUACAAAACGCUGUCAACCAGAUGCUUCACAUUGAUUUAUCCUGUGAAAUGUGCCAUAACCAUUUUAAAUUUCAAUGGGCGGGGGCGUAGGGACUUCCCGAAUAGCAAGAACCAUUAUCUGAUAGAAUGCUACUUUAAAACUUGUUCUGAUGUUUGCAAGUUUGGCCAAGGUUUGUCUGUAAAUCUGUCCCCAAAUGGAGAAGUUAACCAUUGUUAUUAUUGAAAUAUAAUACAUAUACCAUGAUAACUGUUGUAAUUUUUGUUUGAGUGAAACAAGCCAUUAUGCCAGAAGAUGUCUUGAUACGGUCUUAUAAAUAAAGCCUUGUAGAGUGAGUGGUUCUUUGAACCGGGCAAUAUCACUCUUGGCAAUCAAACUCUGA